rnacentral:misc_RNA from 1 species
GAUGAAGAACGUAGCGAAAUGCGAUAAGUAGUGUGAAUUGCAGAAUUCAGUGAAUCAUCGAAUCUUUGAACGCACAUUGCGACCUUUGGUAUUCCUUAGGGCAUGCCUGUUCGAGCGUCAUUUAAACCUUCAAGCUAAGCUUGGUGUUGGGUGACUGUCCGCUUCACGGCGGACUCGCCUCAAAAUUAUUGGCGGCCGGUACAUUGGCUUCGAGCGCAGCAGAAACGCGAACUCGGGCCCGUCGUAUUGGCUCCCAGAAGCUAUCUUCACAAUUUUGACCUCGGAUCAGGUAGGGAUACCCGCUGAACUUAAGCAUAUCAAUAAGCGGAGGA